rnacentral:sRNA from 1 species
UGAUUACCCACCCGUCAGGGCACCGCUGAAGGUCACUGAAUACUUAGUGUGCACCCGAAAAAUAAAUCCUGCGAGUUCACGCCCGCGUAGUUCGCCCCCUGGUUUUGAGCGACUCCUUUCGCAUGGGAUCUACAAAACCGAACUGCCUUAAAGACCUCUUUCACACGGACGUGAAGUCACAGAACUGACAAAAUCCCAUCCUGUCAAAGUGCACGGGUCUUUGAAAUCUAACACAAAAAGCCAUAGAAAGAUUCUCUAAACACCCUGUACUAAGAGGAACACGGACAGGGCACUGCGUUCUGAAGUAGAGGCCAGGGCACUGGCCCUUAGACACGUCUCGCUGUCACCGGGCUAACAACAUUGGCAAGGGCGGCGGCAGCAGCACUGAUAUUUGCAGACCCCAAGGGCUCUGGCGAAACCCCCUCUAUUACUCUGUAUCCUGCGUGCUUCCAAGAUGAACCUGUUGCUGGGAAAGAACAGGCUAAAUUAGAAAAGGGAGUAUUUUGUCAAAGUUGAAGAAACCUCUGUAGAGGAGCAGGAUGCAACCGACAGGCUGUGGCCGGACAGCUGCUGCCCAGCACAUGGAGCCUGCACGCGCACGGUUUGGCCAAAGAAGCCCCCAUACUCCCGGUGAAAAAGAUUUCCAGAAGCUGUUCUGUCAAUAACAAAGUCUCAAAACCACAAAACCACCAACACUAAGAUCAUUCUUGAGUCCAAUUUGAAAAACUAGGGUCAAGUUCUGCAGAGGCAUUGAAAGGACAAGAAGCCACCCUAAUACCCAUCGUGUGAGGGAAAAUGCUCUAUUCACCAUUCCUCAGCUUCUGCUUCUGGUUUCAGAGUUCUCUCUAUAUUGGAGGGUGUUUUAAAGCUAGAGUGGUCUUUAUCCACUUUUAUUAACACAUCUGAAUGUGAAGGUCAAGAGAGGAAAGUGAUAUGUCCUAAGUCAGAGUAGAGUCAACAAGAAAAUAAGACAAACAGCAACUGAGCCCCUGGUGUAUACUGGGCAUUGGCCAGCUACUGGGGAUAUGGAGAUGAAGAAAACGUAACCCUUCUUCAAGGAGCCCAACCUACCAAGGUAGACAGACAUAUAGACAAAUAGAUACUUGCAUAGAAAAAAAGAGGAAAAGGGGAUCAGUGUGAUCUGUGUAACUAAGUACCCUAUACAACCCUCCUGCAACAGAUCAUAUUGCCCUUUAUAGUGGGGAUGGUAAUCCCAUCUCUGAAUCCACAGGUACUUUGUAGUCAUACCACACCCAUGUGUCUGUCGGUCCUGACUGUACCAUUUAUAAACAGCUUCACUUUCAGCAGUUCUCAGCCCUCUUAAGCUAGGGUCAUUGUCAGUAGGGAUACUGCUUCACAAGCAUCAGCAGAACACCAAAGGAGACCAUAUGGGUGAAAGCAACCAGCACUGCCCUGGCGCUUCAUAGGUU